UUAAGUUAUUAAGGGAGCACGGUGGAUGCCUUGGCACUAGAAGCCGAUGAAGGACGUUACUAACGACGAUAUGCUUUGGGGAGCUGUAAGUAAGCUUUGAUCCAGAGAUUUCCGAAUGGGGAAACCCAGCAUGAGUUAUGUCAUGUUAUCGAUAUGUGAAUACAUAGCAUAUCAGAAGGCACACCCGGAGAACUGAAACAUCUUAGUACCCGGAGGAAGAAAAAGAAAAUUCGAUUCCCUUAGUAGCGGCGAGCGAAACGGGAAGAGCCCAAACCAACAAGCUUGCUUGUUGGGGUUGUAGGACACUCUAUACGGAGUUACAAAGGACGACAUUAGACGAAUCAUCUGGAAAGAUGAAUCAAAGAAGGUAAUAAUCCUGUAGUCGAAAAUGUUGUCUCUCUUGAGUGGAUCCUGAGUACGACGGAACACGUGAAAUUCCGUCGGAAUCUGGGAGGACCAUCUCCUAAGGCUAAAUACUCUCUAGUGACCGAUAGUGAACCAGUACCGUGAGGGAAAGGUGAAAAGCACCCCGGAAGGGGAGUGAAAUAGAACCUGAAACCGUGUGCUUACAAGUAGUCAGAGCCCGUUAAUGGGUGAUGGCGUGCCUUUUGUAGAAUGAACCGGCGAGUUACGAUUUGAUGCAAGGUUAAGCAGUAAAUGUGGAGCCGUAGCGAAAGCGAGUCUGAAUAGGGCGUUUAGUAUUUGGUCGUAGACCCGAAACCAGGUGAUCUACCCUUGGUCAGGUUGAAGUUCAGGUAACACUGAAUGGAGGACCGAACCGACUUACGUUGAAAAGUGAGCGGAUGAACUGAGGGUAGCGGAGAAAUUCCAAUCGAACCUGGAGAUAGCUGGUUCUCUCCGAAAUAGCUUUAGGGCUAGCCUCAAGUGAUGAUUAUUGGAGGUAGAGCACUGUUUGGACGAGGGGCCCCUCUCGGGUUACCGAAUUCAGACAAACUCCGAAUGCCAAUUAAUUUAACUUGGGAGUCAGAACAUGGGUGAUAAGGUCCGUGUUCGAAAGGGAAACAGCCCAGACCACCAGCUAAGGUCCCAAAAUAUAUGUUAAGUGGAAAAGGAUGUGGCGUUGCCCAGACAACUAGGAUGUUGGCUUAGAAGCAGCCAUCAUUUAAAGAGUGCGUAAUAGCUCACUAGUCGAGUGACACUGCGCCGAAAAUGUACCGGGGCUAAACAUAUUACCGAAGCUGUGGAUUGUCCUUUGGACAAUGGUAGGAGAGCGUUCUAAGGGCGUUGAAGCAUGAUCGUAAGGACAUGUGGAGCGCUUAGAAGUGAGAAUGCCGGUGUGAGUAGCGAAAGACGGGUGAGAAUCCCGUCCACCGAUUGACUAAGGUUUCCAGAGGAAGGCUCGUCCGCUCUGGGUUAGUCGGGUCCUAAGCUGAGGCCGACAGGCGUAGGCGAUGGAUAACAGGUUGAUAUUCCUGUACCACCUAUAAUCGUUUUAAUCGAUGGGGGGACGCAGUAGGAUAGGCGAAGCGUGCGAUUGGAUUGCACGUCUAAGCAGUAAGGCUGAGUAUUAGGCAAAUCCGGUACUCGUUAAGGCUGAGCUGUGAUGGGGAGAAGACAUUGAGUCUUCGAGUCGUUGAUUUCACACUGCCGAGAAAAGCCUCUAGAUAGAAAAUAGGUGCCCGUACCGCAAACCGACACAGGUAGUCAAGAUGAGAAUUCUAAGGUGAGCGAGCGAACUCUCGUUAAGGAACUCGGCAAAAUGACCCCGUAACUUCGGGAGAAGGGGUGCUCUUUAGGGUUAACGCCCAGAAGAGCCGCAGUGAAUAGGCCCAAGCGACUGUUUAUCAAAAACACAGGUCUCUGCUAAACCGUAAGGUGAUGUAUAGGGGCUGACGCCUGCCCGGUGCUGGAAGGUUAAGAGGAGUGGUUAGCUUCUGCGAAGCUACGAAUCGAAGCCCCAGUAAACGGCGGCCGUAACUAUAACGGUCCUAAGGUAGCGAAAUUCCUUGUCGGGUAAGUUCCGACCCGCACGAAAGGCGUAACGAUUUGGGCACUGUCUCAACGAGAGACUCGGUGAAAUCAUAGUACCUGUGAAGAUGCAGGUUACCCGCGACAGGACGGAAAGACCCCGUGGAGCUUUACUGUAGCCUGAUAUUGAAAUUCGGCACAGCUUGUACAGGAUAGGUAGGAGCCUUUGAAACGUGAGCGCUAGCUUACGUGGAGGCGCUGGUGGGAUACUACCCUAGCUGUGUUGGCUUUCUAACCCGCACCACUUAUCGUGGUGGGAGACAGUGUCAGGCGGGCAGUUUGACUGGGGCGGUCGCCUCCUAAAAGGUAACGGAGGCGCUCAAAGGUUCCCUCAGAAUGGUUGGAAAUCAUUCAUAGAGUGUAAAGGCAUAAGGGAGCUUGACUGCGAGACCUACAAGUCGAGCAGGGUCGAAAGACGGACUUAGUGAUCCGGUGGUUCCGCAUGGAAGGGCCAUCGCUCAACGGAUAAAAGCUACCCCGGGGAUAACAGGCUUAUCUCCCCCAAGAGUUCACAUCGACGGGGAGGUUUGGCACCUCGAUGUCGGCUCAUCGCAUCCUGGGGCUGUAGUCGGUCCCAAGGGUUGGGCUGUUCGCCCAUUAAAGCGGUACGCGAGCUGGGUUCAGAACGUCGUGAGACAGUUCGGUCCCUAUCCGUCGUGGGCGUAGGAAAUUUGAGAGGAGCUGUCCUUAGUACGAGAGGACCGGGAUGGACAUACCUCUGGUGUACCAGUUGUCGUGCCAACGGCAUAGCUGGGUAGCUAUGUGUGGACGGGAUAAGUGCUGAAAGCAUCUAAGCAUGAAGCCCCCCUCAAGAUGAGAUUUCCCAACUUCGGUUAUAAGAUCCCUCAAAGAUGAUGAGGUUAAUAGGUUCGAGGUGGAAGCAUGGUGACAUGUGGAGCUGACGAAUACUAAUCGAUCGAAGACUUAAUCAA
rnacentral:rRNA from 1 species